rnacentral:tRNA from 1 species
UCUAAUAUGGCAGAUAAGUGCACUGGAUUUAAGCUCCAUAUAUAAAGGGCUAUCCUUUUGUUAGAA